GAUGAAGGACGUAGUGAAAUGCGAUAAGUAAUGUGAAUUGCAGAAUUCAGUGAAUCAUCGAAUCUUUGAACGCACAUUGCGCCCGCCAGUAUUCUGGCGGGCAUGCCUGUCCGAGCGUCAUUUCAACCAUCAAGCCCCGGGCUUGUGUUGGGGACCUGCGUCCGACGCAGGCCCUGAAAACCAGUGGCGGGCUCGCUGUCCACACCGAGCGUAGUAACUAACCUCGCUAUGGAGUGGCGCGGGCGCCUGCCGUAAAACCCCCAAUUUCACAAGGUUGACCUCGGAUCAGGUAGGAAUACCCGCUGAACUUAAGCAUAUCAAUAAGCGGAGGA
rnacentral:misc_RNA from 1 species